rnacentral:rRNA from 1 species
UGGAUCAGAAUGAACGCUGGCGGCAUGCUUAACACAUGCAAUGUCGAACGCGUGGCGCAAGCCACGAGUGGCGCACGGGUGAGUAACGCGUCGGAACCUGCCCUGGAGUGCGGCGAUAACCCGGUGAAAGCCGGGGUAAGACCGCAUACGCCUUGGCGUCGAGCCUUGGGGAAAGAUUUAUCGCUCUUGGAGGGGCCCGCGUCGGAUUAGCUAGUUGGUGGGGUAACGGCCCACCAAGGCGGUGAUCCGUAGCUGGUCUGAGAGGAUGAUCAGCCACACUGGGACUGAGACACGGCCCAUGAUCCUACGGGAGGCA